rnacentral:lncRNA from 1 species
GCCAGGGCCAGCACCCUCCCACCAGAGGAGCAUCUGCCUUGACAACACCGAGGAGCCGAACCACAGGCUCCACUGGCUGCCCAGGUUGGACAGGAGGGUGACCAUCUGUGAGAGGAGAGGUCAGAGAGACAGGAACCAGGAGGCCACGACUGGAAAGUCCAGGCAGAAGAGAACUGCGGAGCCAGCCCAGGGAAGGACAGAAGUGGAAAAGUCACCACAGACAGGAACAAGCUUCCUGGCACACGACUUCCCUGCCAAACAACUCAACUGUAGUCAAAAGGAAAGAGAUUUGUCUAGUCCUAUACCAGGAUAAGGAGGAGAUUCCAAGGUGCUCCAAACUUUACUGAUUGUGCCCUUGUUCAGUUAAAAAAAAAAUCUUAAACAGGUCCAAUACAUGUAUUUGAUUUAUAAAUUAUAUACCUCUACUAUUGAAUGGAUACAGUAUGUCCAUUCUAAAGCACAUAAGAUGGAAAAUGUGAAGGAAUGAGACAGACCCAUGUAUCUUCUAAUAUUUUCUUCCUGCUCCCCAGGGAAGUGUUGUGUACCCCACCCAGCCCCUCCAGAGCCUGCCCAGCUAAGCGCCCUGGGCACUGAGCAGGGAAGCUGUGGGCAGAGCAUGCACUGAAACCUUAGGAGCCAUUGAGGAACCGCUGGAGGUUUUCUCACGUGCUCUUCC